rnacentral:lncRNA from 1 species
GCAAUUUCAUUUCAUCAAUGGUUAGACGUGGCACAAUCAACAUAUACAAACGUAUCAUCAGGUAAAGAAUGCAAACUAUGUAAUCAUUCAGCAUAAAUAAGCGAAUUCCCAUCAAUAAGUUCACAUUUUCUCAUGUUGAGAUUCAAUUCAUGGACAAGGCUACAAGCCCGAUCAUAUUCUGGGCAAGAAUCAUCCCCAGCGAUAAAGCGAUGCACCAGCCCCCCAACCUCGAUGCAGCUCUCACCUGCCAUCUUCUUCAUCCCCCCUUCCCUCAUCACCC